rnacentral:rRNA from 1 species
UACAGAGGUCCCAAGCGUUGUUCGGAUUCACUGGGCGUAAAGGGUGCGUAGGCGGUCGGGUAAGUCUGAUGUGAAAUCUCACAGCUUAACUGUGAAACUGCAUUGGAUACUAUCCGGCUCGAGGAAUGGAGGGGAGACUGGAAUACUUGGUGUAGCAGUGAAAUGCGUAGAUAUCAAGUGGAACACCAGUGGCGAAGGCGAGUCUCUGGACAUUUCCUGACGCUGAGGUACGAAAGCCAGGGGAGCAAACGGG